UCUCAGGUUAUGUAACGGAGGAGUGGUCGUCAUGGCAACCCCUCCACUCUGGUGCCCCGGCGGAUGGUUUGAUGAGCUGCCAGCAGUAGGGUCACAACUAAUGGCAUUCUAGCUGUCUGCCAUCAACUAUCUGCACCCUGCACGUUCCAUCAGCUCUGAUCCGGGACCAGACUGCAAAUUCUUAACUCCUUCACAAAAUCAUACUCCUAUAUGGAACAUAAUUCUGCUCUCAGAUCAACAUGCACUCUUGAUUUAACCAAAAUAAGAGGCUUUUAGAGAUUCAACAGGAAGCUCCCACCUCCACCGGGGAUUUACCAAUAUGCUUAUUAAAGAGUUUGAAGAAAGCAAAGAUCAGCCCAGAAUUCAGCAAUCUUGUGGAUGCACUGCAGCAAGUCCUUUUGCAGCUGUAUCCAUCAAAGUGCUAUGCAGACAUAAUGGGAAAGACUUUCACAUUGUAGAGAUUGGACAGAGUUGUAACACACAGGUUCUGAGCAGGAAUUCAUCAAGGACUUGACUGUUGGAAUUAUAAUUGUGGUUGACCAAAGUGAGCACCAUCAGUCUAUAAUGAUGUGGUCCCGGUAAUAGAAGAAGAAAUCUUGGUGAUCUCGGGUUUUGAACUGCAUUAGACUAUCCGACUUUUCACAGCACUUGAAGGCAAAGUUUGAAUUUCAUGUUUGCUUAGUAUUUUAAUGUUUUCAUUUUUUUUUUACAUGCAUUUCAGACAGUGCAGUGUUAAUUUGUGAAUGUUUUUAUAAACAUGAAUGUUUAAAUUAUGGUUUAUUUGUGCUCUCUGUUAUGCCAGGAUAAUUGGUUAACAAAACGCUUUUGUCAUAUUAACUUGUGUUGAAGUUUAUUUAACUCAUAAUUUUAAGACAGCCAUGUAAUCUUUUUAGGUAACUGUUAUAACAAACUAUAUGUAGUUGAGUGAAAUUAAAUUUGAAAGUUUACUUAAUCCUCUUGAUUGCUUGAAUAAGUUGAUACAAUAUUUAAUCCAAAGUUAUGACUACAAAAUAACAUUAUUUCAUUUAUUAAUUUUUUUACAAAAUAUAAGUUGAAACAACAAAAUCACUAUCUGAAAUUCUAACUGAAAUCGCUAACUGAAAUUCAAUGAGAUCAAGAUUUUAAGGCAACAAGGUUACUUACUUUUUUAAGUUAAACCAACAAAUCAUUUUUUAUUCUUAUUUAUUUAUUUAUUUAUUUUCAGUGUUGCAGUAUCUUGGACAAUUUCUUUAUGAUGAGAAGAUGCCAAAAUCUCUAAUUAAAAGCCAGAUCUCAAUAUAAACUCAAACAUUUCUUAUCAAGUCGUCCAAGAUCAGAUGUUCGGCUUUAAUUGCAGACUAUGGUAUUUUCUUGUCAGAAAUAAAUGUCUUUAUUAUCUUUUUUCCUCCUAUAUA
ensembl:lncRNA